AAUGAAGUCUCCACAGAAAUCCCUUGAACCUGUAUGUUUUUUUAUGAAAAUACAGUCUGCACCUCAGGACGUCGAGCAAUAUUUGACAAUUUAACCACUUGAACCAGUUGAAUUACGGAGUCAACUUCGCUUUUUUUAUGGAACUACAUUUGGAAUUGUACAACGUGG